GCGUCCGAGUAUAAACUCAACAUCGGAUUCAUUACAACGGUUCGUUCAGUUCCAGUUACGUUCGUCGUUCACAUUGGCGCGGAACAAAGUCGAACGCCGUGUCGAGUGCCGCGUUUAUUUAUGAUAGUGUAACGCGCGCGUUCGUGCCCACUCGAUAACCGAAAAUCUCCGGAAAAAAAAUCGUAUUAUUUUGCAGUGUUUCGGGUCUACGAUUUUAGACACGGUAUGCGGUACGCGUCACGCGAUGUAGACGGAACCCCGAAAGGUUCACGGGACGGCGCCAAAACCGGAAUUCGCCGCACGAGUAGUUGUAAAAACCGUCCCGUACGCGGUGUAC